UUUUAAAUUGCUGUAGUAUUUUGACUAUACAAAGGUAUUGAAAUAAGACUUUAAUUGAGUGCUAAGAGAAUGGAAUUACAGGAAAAAUCUUUUUUAAACUUAACAAUUAAAGUUAUUUUUACUUGUGAAGAAGCAGUAAUAAAAAUUAAGGACAAGAAGACCCUAAGAAUUUUUCGAUACAUAUUUCAAUAAAGAAAAUAUGUUUCUUUAAUUGGGGCGAUUAAUUAAUAUUAAAAACUUUUUUGAAAAAACAUGAACCGUUUAAUAGCGGUAAAUUGGUAAAAAUACUCUAGGGAUAACAGCGUAAUAAUUUUUGAUAGUUCA
rnacentral:rRNA from 1 species